CAAAAAAUAGUUUAUAAAAAAUAUUAAUUUUGGAAAUUAAUGUAAUAAAUUAUUAAUUUAUUUUUUUGA
rnacentral:tRNA from 1 species